GCUUCAGGGCAGGGUGAGCAUCUUUGCAAUUCCCUACCGGCGGUUAUAGUCCGCGAAACCUUCGGGUUUGAUUUGGUGAAACUCCAAAACCGACAGUAUAGUCUGGAUGAAAGAAGU
rnacentral:ncRNA from 1 species